rnacentral:rRNA from 1 species
GAUGAACGCUGGCGGUAUGCUUAACACAUGCAAGUCGAACGGACUCUUCGGAGUUAGUGGCGGACGGGUGAGUAACGCGUGAGAAUCUGGCUUUGGGUUCGGGACAACCACUGGAAACGGUGGCUAAUACCGGAUGUGCCGAGAGGUAAAAGAGAAAUUGCCUGAAGAUGAGCUCGCGUCUGAUUAGCUAGUUGGUGAGGUAAAGGCUCACCAAGGCAGCGAUCAGUAGCUGGUCUGAGAGGAUGACCAGCCACACUGGGACUGAGACACGGCCCAGACUCCUACGGGAGGCAGCAGUGGGGAAUUUUCCGCAAUGGGCGAAAGCCUGACGGAGCAAUACCGCGUGAGGGAAGAAGGCUCUUGGGUUGUAAACCUAUUUUCUUAGGGAAGAACAAAAUGACGGUACCUAAGGAAUCAGCAUCGGCUAACUCCGUG